GGAUUGUGACAGACAUACCUGGAACCACUGACACAAGUUUCGGAAAUGAAAUAAUGACUUAUGAGGUCCCUCAACCAGUGUUGGGAAUACACAGCUUUGUUUUUGUGUUGUUUAAGCAACAAUCCCGACAAAUUGUGGUUGCUCCAGAGCAUCGCCAGAACUUUAAUAUGAGAGAGUUUUCUCAGCAAUAUAACCUUGAUUCACCUGUAGCAGCAACAUACUAUAACUGUCACAGGGAGAAUGGCACAGGAGCACGGAGGUUACCCUCUAAUUAAAUAAUUAAGGGCAACUUUAUCUCGAAGCGAUUUGCAUCUACAUCUACCCUACUACGCAUCAUAAUAUUUACUUAAAUGUAAACUAUGUACGAACGUCCUAUGUGAAAUUAGUGCAACAUGUUUCUUUUUACUGCUUUCUUUGCAAAUAAAUAGAUCACAUUUAAGACCAAAAAAUAUCAUUUAUGGCAUAAAUAAGUUUAAGGUUUCUCCAACGAGAUAUUUUCUGUACUAAUGAAUGGUAAAACUUAAUUACGCGAUGUAGCACAUUAAUUAUAAACUGUUGUACCCUAUGCCACUUAUCAUAUUUUUUUACUAU